rfam:Candidatus Levybacteria bacterium RIFCSPHIGHO2_01_FTLL_41_15 rifcsphigho2_01_scaffold_550, whole genome shotgun sequence.
GCUGGGUAGCUAGAUUCCCAACGGAUAACCGCUGAAAGCAUCUAAGUGGGAAGCCGCCUCCAAGAUUAGAUCUCGCCUUAUGCGUGGCAUAAGGAAUUUCUAAUUUCUAAUUUCUAAUUUCUAAAUAAGUUCAAAUUUUCAAAUUUUCAAAAAUUCAAAAUAUUUAGAUCAAUUAGGUUAAUUAGAGCAUUUAGGAAUUUCUCAUGCUGCGCAUGAGAAUGACCCCUCGUAGACUACGAGGUUGAUAGGCGGGCGGUGGAAGUACCGUAAGGUAUUAAGCCUACCCGUACUAAUGGUCAAUUAGAGUAACUUA